rnacentral:lncRNA from 1 species
AGCCUUUCCUUGCCUCUCCUACAUAUAUAAACCCCUUCCCAUCCAUUCCUCCAAAUAACCAACCCUUCAACAUCAUUCCAACCUUGUUGUGGCGGCAAGGAGAAGGAGAAAAGUCCUUGGACGCGCUUGCUAUCCAACAUGGAUCGUUGGAACGUUUAGGUGCUUUCUUCCCUUUGUUUUUCAAUGGUUAAAUUUGUUUAUCUUUGUUUUGUAAUAAUGAGGAACUAAACCCCCCUUGGCUAGGGGGGGAUUCAAAACCAUGUUUAUGCUUGCUAUAUGAUUUGAUUACUUCCAAUUGCGUUUCUUGAAUUGUGAAUUCAAUUUACUUAUCCGUUCGUAUAAAAAACUAAUUUGUGUAUGUUGGUUGAGAGUGCACGCUUAAUUUUCAUGCAUGAAUUUGACGCUAGAAUAUAAGGGAGUUUCACCUAAUCGUUAUGAACUUAUAUUCACAAGUAGUGAAGGUUGCUAGUCACAAUCACGUUAAGUAAAUUCUUGGCAUAAGUUUCAUGCAAAUCAUAGUAACGAGUGCCUCGUCAAUGCUUAUGUUUUUCAUAUAGAACUUAAUGAUUCUUGCUUGUAUCUCUAUUAUGCAAUUCAUGUAGGGAACUUGUAGGGAAUGUUUUGGGUUGUCGUAUGCAAUCAUCCAAUCUAAUAACUUGUUGAAAAACUGAGAGUUAAUUAGUGCAAUUCACGGUUAAUUUGGGGCGUUGAGUAUUCAUAACUUAUCGAAGGGCAAUUGGAAAUCAUUUUGUAUGCAAGCAAGACAUGUGUGGAGAAGAACCCCUUAGCUAGCCUUCCAUUAUCCAUUCAACCCAAAUUUGUUUAAAAUCUAUUUAAGUUUUUAGUUUAUUCGUUUUUACUUUCAACUUCACCAAACUCAAAUCCCCCUUUUACUUUCUUGUUUUAAAAUCUUUUGUUUACAUUUUUAACUUUGUUUCUUUUUGUUUUUGAGUCAGUAUAGAGGUUUUAGCAAGCCCUCCUAAUCCCCGGUUUAGAACGAUCCCUACUUACAUACUUUGCUACAAUUGUCAAAAGAGGGUUUAAUUUGUGUGUCAAGUAAUUCUCGCAUCACUUCCCCUUCCUAUGACAUCCUUACCAUUUGGCCUCAUCAUCUUUUACUGUCUCAAUUCGAUUUGCCUACUUUUCCUUGCGAUUUUUCACAUUUUAAUGCGAGGGUGCAUAGAGCUUUGGUUCGGGUGCCCACACCAUCACCCUUGUUGACCUUUGUUGGUCUUUCCUGGUGUUCGCCCUUGUUAGUGAUGUCACUCAUCAGAUAUUUCUUCCUGCAGGUUUCCUUUGUUUCUGGGUGGCAUUCGUUUUGGUGGUUUGUGGAUAAUGGUGCAACCUUCUUCUUCAUCUUCAACUUUGGUUUUCUGGAUGGUGAUAAAGGUUGGCUUCUAAGCUUCGUUCUGAGGUGUGUAUGCGGUGGAGGGAGUUUCUAUGGUAGCUUUAGAAAUUUAGGGUUGUGUUUUGUGUGUGCUCGACUACACUAUAUACUUGGGGUUGUUUGUUUUUUAUUUUUUGAGGUCCAUGUUGUUUUUGUAACUAUUGUGGUUUCCUUGUGUAUAACGUUUCGGUGUAAUAUUUUCUUGUUGGUAAUAAAUUUAGCUUUUCACUUUAUAAAAAAUUAAAAAAAAAAAAAAAAAAAAAAACCUUUAUGUUAAGGUUCCUAU